CCUGCCUAGAGUCUCCCAGUGAGAGGGGCUGGGGUGUGAGACUCAGUGUUAAAGCACCUUCCUGUAGUCCCCCCGUGAGGGGCUGGAGUAGGCUCAGCUGUAGAGUACUUACCUAGAAUUCACUAGGCCAGGUCCAUCCUCAGUACUACAGAACUUGGCUUUGGGGAGAAGGGUAUGGCUGGACAAGAGUUAGGUGCACUGAUUGACAGGGAGGUCUUGGGAGCCUACAAAAAUAACAUAGAGGAAAACCCCCAAAGCCCUAUGGAGGAGCCCUUGGAGCCCUGGGAUACCAAGGUGGGGGCUGCUUUGGGAAAUCUUGUGGCCGGAAGAGGAAGUGAUCUUCUGGAGACCCCUGACUCGCGACCUCAUCAACGUUGGUGCUACUGCUUGGUGGAGAAUGUAAACCUUCUAUGACCACCCCCUACUCCAUCCCCUUGACCCCCACCUGGGAGGGGACAACAGGCCAGUGGCCUUGGAAACCCACAGGACAAGGAAAUCAGACAGCAGCGGCCACGUACCCCUAACCAGAAAUUUCCCCCUUUCUUAGAGCCCAGGGGGGGUGCCCCAUCUCUUCCCACCCGGGAGCUCCCCACACACACACAGUCUCCAUCUCCAAGAGAAAUUGGUGCUACAUGUUGGUGCUUCUUUUUCGAGGGGGGAGGGAGAAGAGAAGGGUAUCCCAUGGGGGACCCUCCCUUCCCUGAAACCCCUCUAUUAAGAUGGUGCACACCUUUGUUGGGCAGUCCCACCUCACCCUGCCCACCAGGAGCCAUGCCUGGCUGCAUCCAAUUGGUACCCAAAAGCCAAAAGCCUUGACGCUGGAUUUGGUGACACAAUCCCUCUCUCUUUGGAUCUUUUGGCCCAUAUCCCUCUACCAAUAGCUGUUUCCUACAUCUGGGACACCUUGGAGUCAGAAGACUCCCACACUGGGAAUAAUUCCCUUGUUCUUGUGGAAUCCACCUGCCCGCCAUCCACCCUUCCACCCUUUCAUGAGUCCAUCCUUCCGUCCAACCUGACUGCCUAGUGCCACUAGCUGGCUGGGCACACCCACUAUCAACCUGGUUCUCCUGUCAUGGCAGCCUGUACAGCCUGUCCCCUGUUCCCACCCCCACCACACACCCCAAAUGCUGGCCUGGGGUGCAAGGGGUUGUGCGGGCUGGGGCAAGACUAUCCUCCCCACAUGCAGUACUGUAUCCCCGUCCGUCCCUUCCUGGAGCCGCUCUACCAGAGAGAAUGUCCCACCACCCCACCCACCUCUUUGUGUUUCGCUGUGAUAGAUCAAUAAAUAUUUUAUUUUUUGUCCUGGAUAUUUGGGGAUGAUGUUUGAUUGUUGGUGUGCUCUUUGGGUUUUAUUUUUAUGGUUAAUUGGGGAAAAAUCUUUUCUUAUCUGAGGAGCUGUAUCCUCAGGAGAAAAUUCAUUUUAAUCGCUUUGAUAUAACUCUGGAUGAA
rnacentral:lncRNA from 1 species